rnacentral:snoRNA from 1 species
GUGCCUGUGGGAUGAACACGUCCCAACAUUCACUUCAUUUUUUCACUUUGUCAGCUAAUAGCCAUACAUGUUUAGCUGAUUGUUAAGACCAGGAAAUGC